UUCGGGUCCCCCCGCAUUGAUAGUUUGUGAACCUGGUCAGAUCCGGAAGGAAGCAGCCACAGCAAAUGACUCAAGUGCCGGGGUGUGGCUUGUUGGG
rnacentral:SRP_RNA from 1 species